UCUCAUUUAAGAGAUGGCAGUGAAGGUAAGGGUAUCUUGCUGGAGGUCCCUGUGUAUCUGAAGCUUUCUGAAACUGCUGCAAGUUGUCAAGGCACAUAUUGUCAUACUGAGCACCCCUUCACAGCUUCAGGAUAGAAGCCUGUCAUAUGAUACUGCACAAAAUCGAUGAUAUGAAAGACAUUCUUAAGAAAAACAGCUACUUAAUUAGUUUGAUCUUCUGAGCAAUUUAUCACACUCCAUGUAUUGGGAUACAAACAAGGUCAUUGUUUGGCAGGUUCAAUUUGAGAGGACCUGAAUUUCCAGGAUGAAUGUUAACAGGAAUUAUCUUUGUACAUGUGUACACCUAUUGCAUGGAGCUGAAGAAAGAACAAGGAAUUCUGUUAUUUGAGUGCACCCUUCUACUGCUUGCUCCUCCUUGUCUGAUUUGCUCCAUGCCCCAUAAGGCACAAAGACAGAAGAAUGUGGUCUACCACAAGGUGUCUGACUAACAGGUGAAACUGCAAGUUCCCUUUCUAUUAGAGCUUUUUCCAGAGGUUGAGCAAGGAUGUGAAAAAUGUAACUGAUAUGUAAACAUAUUCUUCAAAAAAAUAUUGAUCAAGUUUACCGAGUGCUGGAAUCUAAUCGAGUUAAACUAAAUGGAAAUAACCUAAGUACGGAAACAGUGGACAGGAGCCAGUACUUCAUACCCCUGUCUCCCAGCAACUUCAGCUCUGCCUUCUGCCAUAAGCAAGGAAAAAGUCUUGAAGAGCAUAAGGAAGGUCAUGUUGUCACUACUAUAACCACUGUUACUGUAGUUGUUAUUGCCAGACACCUUCUUUUCCAGUCAGUAUUAUCACAAGGGGCAAGGAAGGAAUUUUUUCCUGGAGGGCAGCACUGCAGAAUUAGCCCAGAGGGAUUAUGCUUCACUUGUUUUUACUUUCCACUCACAAAUCUGAUGUUGGAUGCAUAAUGCAAGACUUCAUGGACCAGUGGUCUGACCAGAUAAGGCAAAUCCUCUGUUCCUAUUUACACUGCAUAUUGCUGGGAUUUUACUUAAAUCAUUAAAACAUAUAUUAAAUUGAGUAGCGCAUGAAGAAUCUUGAAUGCUUAGUGUUAUUUAUUUAUUUUUUUAUUUUUUAACUGAAACCCUUAAUUAGUGCUCAAAAGGAUUGCCAGAAUAGUAUGAGUCAGAUCAGCUGGAUAAAGGCAAUGUAGCAAUAAAGGAGAAGCCCCUCUUCAGAACUGAAGAACAUGAUGAAAUAAAAGCCAAUUUCCAGGCAGCUGUGAAGUGGACAGAAGAGCCUUUGUAAUCUGUAGCCACCACCUCCUGCACAGGACAGCCUCAGAACAUUUCUGAAUCAUCUUUGGGAUUUAUAGGAACCAAAGGCUGAUAAAGAGGUCGGUUGAUUUCCCCAGAGCCCUGUAGGAGACUUCUGCAAUCUCUUGUCCGGGGAAUUCUAAGAUGAAUCCUGGUG